GCCAGUGUGGCGAAAUUGGUAGACGCAGUGGACUCAAAAUCCACCGGAGUUUACUCCUUGCCGGUUCGAAUCCGGCCACUGGUA
rnacentral:tRNA from 1 species